rnacentral:rRNA from 1 species
ACGCUAGCGAUAGGCUUAACACAUGCAAGUCGAGGGGCAGCAUGGUCUUAGCUUGCUAAGACUGAUGGCGACCGGCGCACGGGUGCGUAACGCGUAUGCAACUUGCCUCACAGAGGGGGAUAACCCGUCGAAAGACGGACUAAUACCGCGUACACUCUAUGUUGGGCAUCCAAUGUAGAGGAAAUGAACUUCGCUGUGAGAUAGGCAUGCGUCCCAUUAGCUAGUUGGUGAGGUAACGGCUCACCAAGGCGACGAUGGGUAGGGGAACUGAGAGGUUGAACCCCCACACUGGUACUGAGACACGGACCAGACUCCUACGGGAGGCAGCAGUGAGGAAUAUUGGUCAAUGGGCGAGAGCCUGAACCAGCCAAGUCGCGUGAAGGAUGACUGUCUUAUGGAUUGUAAACUUCUUUUAUACGGGAAUAACAAGAGUCACGUGUGGCUCCCUGCAUGUACCGUAUGAAUAAGCAUCGGCUAACUCCGUGCCAGCAGCCGCGGUAAUACGGAGGAUGCGAGCGUUAUCCGGAUUUAUUGGGUUUAAAGGGUGCGUAGGCGGCCUGUUAAGUCAGCGGUGAAAUCUAGGAGCUUAACUCCUAAAUUGCCAUUGAUACUGGCGGGCUUGAGUGUAGAUGAGGUAGGCGGAAUGCGUGGUGUAGCGGUGGAAUGCAUAGAUAUCACGCGGAACUCCGAUUGCGAAGGCAGCUUACUAAGGUACAACUGACGCUGAAGCACGAAAGCGUGGGUAUCAAACAGGAUUAGAUACCCUGGUAGUCCACGCAGUAAACGAUGAUAACUGGGCGUAUGCGAUAUACAGUAUGCUCCUAAGCGAAAGCGUUAAGUUAUCCACCUGGGGAGUACUCCGGCAACGGUGAAACUCAAAGGAAUUGACGGGGGCCCGCACAAGCGGAGG